rnacentral:sRNA from 1 species
CAAUCAAUGUUACAAUAUAUUUGAGCAAGUUAGAUAGAUGGUGGCUAAUCUCAUGAAAAUGGGGUGAUGCCUAUGGUUUUGGUUUCUACUCCAAGAAAGGAAUAGCAUGACUGAUUAUGAAAUGCUAAUGAUUGUUCUUACAAUCAUUGGUCUAGUAAUAAUGAGCAAUAACCAAAA